rnacentral:lncRNA from 1 species
UCCUCUUUUCUCAAACAGAUCUGUAUCAAGACGACUGAUUACAUACUCACUCAUAAGCAGGAAGAGCACUGCUUAAUCUCCGGUUACAUGAUGGCACGCUUACGUUGGAAGCAAUCUGUAAAUGGGGUUAGGCUACUCUGCAGUCCUUAAGGUUUCUGCUUUGUGUUUGACAAAGUGGUUUAUUUUUAGAAUGAAAAAUAAUCCUUUAAGUCUCUUCCUGGUCUGAGCUCACAGUGACUGCUCAGAUUUCGCUCAUAGUGGAGAUUACGAGGUCAGCUGUAGUAAAAUGGGCUCCUGACAUGUGAGCAAGAAAAUCCAGAACAGUCAAGUGGAAAUAUUGGAUUGUAGAAUAUUUUUUUAAACGAAAGGGACCAAUCCCUUUUGUAAUUGAUCAUCAGUUUUGUAGUUUGUGUAUGUCUGCCAGUCAAAAUUAUGAGAUAAUCUUUUCCAAAACAAGAUGUUCUAGUUUUAAUAACAAUAUUUUCUUGUGUAUAUAUGCUACAUUUAUUUAUUUAUUUAUUUAUUUAUUUAUUUAUUUAUUUAUUUAUUUAUCUCUGUAGCUUAACUCAUAUGUUAUAAACACCAAAUUCUUGGAAUGUUUUAUGGCAGCUCACUAUUUACAUGCUUUAAUAUUUAUUUUCCAAAUUCUUGUUUAACAUUGAUGCUACUAUUACCUCCAUGAAUUAGCACAGUACAGAUGACACAACAAGACAAAACAGCAGUAACAAAAACACCAAAAUGGGUUCAUAAUAGUCUUUUAAUUAGAUAGAGAUAUUAUCAUAAAUGAACCCACAUCACUGUUUUUAGGCAGUAAGUGGAUAUUUGGCUUUGUUAUUACUAAUUUAAAUUUAUAUAUUUUUAUUUUAUGUGCCUUUUUAUUUUUCCUCCAUGUAUAUAUGUGAACUAUGUUUGUAUUUGGUGUCUAGAGUGGCCAGAAGAUGUGUCAGAUCCCCUAGGACUAAGUUACAGAAGAUUAUGAGCCAUUUCAUGGGUCCUAGGAUCUGACCCUGGAUCCUCUGCAAGGGUUCUUACCGACCAAGAUGUCUAUCUCUCCAUCCCUAUAGGUGCAUAUUUUAUGUGACAGUGUCUUCAUAUACAUAGAUACACACACACAUACAUACAUACAUAGAUAUGUACAUUCAUAUAUAGAGAAAUAUAUAUGCAUUAUGUUAAAACAGAUGCAGAAAAUUUAAAAGCUUGUGUUACUUGUUUUUCUUUAUAUCCAUUUCUAUGUUUUGGAAUGAACCUUCUAUGAAAGUAUGGCAGAUAGAGCAUUGAUAAAAAUAUGCUAUCAAAUCACAGACUGAAUGCAAAUUGCCUUUUAUGUUUGUUAUAUGUCGUCAAUUAAAAGAAAUGUGAGCACUAAAUAGCAGAUUACUUUACUACAUACAGUGUCCUGAUGUUCUUUGUAUCUGAAAUUUUUUCUACAAAGCUAUGUUUUUACAGUCAGAGUUUUAUUUCUAUUUUUUACCUCUUUUCAUAGGAAGGCUGCCAUCAUGACAGCAUAAGCAUCUUUAUAGACAAGUUAACAAGAGUCAUUUACUCAGAGAGAUGUGAAGCAGGGUAAAUAAGAUUAGCAGAUGCAUUUUGCACAUUGCACUGCAGUGGGUACCAGUUCUGAAUCUAACUCAACCAUUUGGUGCUGCUGGAUCACGUGAUAAAUGAAUAAUCAAUCAGAUCCAAAGAUAACUUCCACAGUGACUAAGUUAUAAUGCCAUGUAUAACAUGAAGACAGAAGAGCAAAUAAUGUAUAAGGACAUGAGGAAGGAGUGAAUGCAGGCUACAGACAGAAAUUUUGAAAGAGGACAUCAAUCUAUUUUUUAUAUUUCUAAUUCUGUCACAGAUAUUUUGGUAUGGUAGUGGGUAAGUGAGUAAAAUACACUUGAAACUGUAAGUACACAAUUUCAGUGCAAAGCUUCACAGCUUCCAUUUUUAUGGCAAUUAUAAUUAUGUAUUCAAUUAUUAAAUUUUAUAGAAGUUGAAUCUG